AUGCAAGUCGAGCGGUAACAGACAUUUUGAUUUUGCUUGCAAAAUCUCGUGCUGACGAGCGGCGAACGGGUGAGUAACGCGUAGGAAUCUACCUAGUAGAAGGGGAUAGCCCGAGGAAACUCGGAUUAAUACCGUAUACGUCCUUAGGGAGAAAGAGGGCUUAGCUUUGAUGCUCUCGCUAUUAGAUGAGCCUGCGUAAGAUUGGCUUGUUGGUGAGGUAAAGGCUUACCAAGGCAACGAUCUUUAGCUGGUCUGAGAGGACGAUCAGCCACAUUGGGACUGAGACACGGCCCAGACUCCUACGGGAGGCAGCAGUGGGGAAUAUUGGACAAUGGGCGCAAGCCUGAUCCAGCCAUACCGCGUGUGUGAAGAAGGCCUUCGGGUUGUAAAGCACUUUAAGUAAGGAAGAAAAGAGUAUUGUUAAUACCAAUACUCCGUGACAUUACUUACAGAAUAAGGACCGGCUAAUUCCGUGCCAGCAGCCGCGGUAAUACGGAAGGUCCAAGCGUUAAUCGGAAUUACUGGGCGUAAAGCGCGCGUAGGUGGUUUAUUAAGUUGGGUGUGAAAGCCCCGG
rnacentral:rRNA from 1 species